UUGUUAUCCUCAGGUCUUUGAGACUGUGAGGCCAACCUGACUAGGGUAAAAGAUCUCCUGCCAACCAUCCAAGGGAAUCAGAAGGAAUGUAAUGCUGAUAGGAAGCCAUGUUCUCCUGGCUGGGAGUUCUACAAUGGAUCAUGUUACUACUUCUCUAAAGACAAACUGACCUGGGAACAGAGUCAGUACGCCUGCAUCCGCGAUGGAGGACACCUGGUCAUCAUAGAGAGUAGUCAGGAGCAGGAGUUUAUAAAACAUUGGGUAACAUUGGGAAUUGAUCCUUAUGAACACAGCCCCUGGAUAGGACUGACAGAUGAGAAGCAAGAGAAAGUGUGGGUCUGGAUGGACAAUACAAC